rnacentral:rRNA from 1 species
CAGCAGUGGGGAUCUUGCGCAAUGGGCGAAAGCCUGACGCAGCCAUGCCGCGUGAAUGAUGAAGGUCUUAGGAUUGUAAAAUUCUUUCACCGGGGACGAUAAUGACGGUACCCGGAGAAGAAGCCCCGGCUAACUUCGUGCCAGCAGCCGCGGUAAUACGAAGGGGGCUAGCGUUGCUCGGAAUUACUGGGCGUAAAGGGAGCGUAGGCGGACAUUUAAGUCAGGGGUGAAAUCCCGGGGCUCAACCUCGGAAUUGCCUUUGAUACUGGGUGUCUUGAGUGUGAGAGAGGUAUGUGGAACUCCGAGUGUAGAGGUGAAAUUCGUAGAUAUUCGGAAGAACACCAGUGGCGAAGGCGACAUACUGGCUCAUUACUGACGCUGAGGCUCGAAAGCGUGGGGAGCAAACAGGAUUAGAUACCCUGGUAGUCCACGCCGUAAACGAUGAUUGCUAGUUGUCGGGAUGCAUGCAUUUCGGUGACGCAGCUAACGCAUUAAGCAAUCCGCCUGGGGAGUACGGUCGCAAGAUUAAAACUCAAAGGAAUUGACGGGGCCCC